rnacentral:rRNA from 1 species
CGAUAAGCCUGUUAGUCGAGGGUGCUUUUUCUUCUUUGGAGGGAGAAGUAACCCGGCGGACGGCUCAGUAACACGUGGACAACUUGCCCUUGGGACCGGGAUAACCCCUGGGAAACUGGGGCUAAUACCGGAUAGAACAUCGGUUGCUGGAAUGCACAGAUGUUCGAAAGCUGAGGCACCCAAUGAUAGGUCUGCUGGCCGAUUAGGUUGUUGUUGAUGUGACGGAUCAACAAGCCUACGAUCGGUACGGGUUGUGAGAGCAAUAGCCCGGAGAUGGGUUCUGAGAAAAGAACCCAGGUCCUACGGGACGCAUCAGGCGCGAAAACUUUACAAUGUGCGAAAGCACGAUAAGGGAACUCUGAGUGCCUCCUAAGGAGGCUGUUCAGGUGUCUAAAAAGCAUCUGGAGGAAGGGCUGGGUAAGACCGGUGCCAGCCGCCGCGGGUAACCCGGCAGCUCAAGUGGUAGCCACGUUUAUUGGGGCUAAAGCGUCCGUAGCCGGCUGAGUAAGUUCCUUGGGAAAUUGACCGCUCACNGUUGAGCUUNANGGAAUACUGUUGGCUUGGACCNGGAAAGGCAAAGGNANUCAAAGGUGGGGGGAAAUCCAUAAUCNUGGGGACCCCUGAGCAAAGAGUUUAACAAC